CCUACGGGAGGCUGCAGUGAGGAAUAUUGGUCAAUGGACGAGAGUCUGAACCAGCCAAGUCGCGUGAAGGAUGACUGCCCUAUGGGUUGUCAACUUCUUUUAUCUGGGAAUAAAAUGUUCCACGUGUGGGAUUUUGUAUGUACCCUAUGAAUAAGGAUCGGCUAACUCCGUGCCAGCAGCCGCGGUAAUUCGGAGGAUGCGCGCGUUAUCCGGAUUUAUUGGGUUUAAAGGGAGCGUAGGUGGACUGUUAAGUCAGGUGUGAAAGGUUGCGGCUCAACCCUAAGAUAGCAGUUGAAACUGGCAGAGUAGAGAAGAGUAGAGGUAGGCGGAAUGCGUGGUGUAGCGGUGAAAUGCAUAGAUAUCGCGAAGAACUCCGAUUGCGAAGGCAGCUCACUGGCGUGCGACUGACACUGAGGCACGAAAGCGUGGGUAUCGAACAGGAUUAGAUACCCUGGUAGUC
rnacentral:rRNA from 1 species